rnacentral:rRNA from 1 species
UACGAAGGGCGCAAGCGUUACUCGGAAUUACUGGGCGUAAAGAGCUCGUAGGCGGCUUGUCGCGUCGACUGUGAAAUCCCGCGGCUCAACUGCGGGUCUGCAGUCGAUACGGGCAGGCUAGAGUUCGGUAGGGGAGACUGGAAUUCCUGGUGUAGCGGUGAAAUGCGCAGAUAUCAGGAGGAACACCAGCGGCGAAGGCGGCACUCUGGGCUGGUACUGACGCUGAGGAGCGAAAGCGUGGGUAGCAAACAGG